rnacentral:rRNA from 1 species
UAUAAAGCUAAAUUUAUUAGGUUUAUGGAUUGGGUAUUUAAAACAAUAUGAAUUUUUAAGUUUGGUAUUAGGUAAAGACAAAAUUGUGGAAGCGUUAGUUUUAGUACUGUGAGGGAAAAUUGAAAUAAGUGAAAUAAGAAUUGUUAGUGAAGUAGGUGGAGUGCCGUACCUUUUGUAUCAGGGUUUAUUAAUUAGAGGGGAAGAAAUUCUAUUAUCUCGAUAUAAGAAGGGCUACCAUUUUAAUUUAUAUAGGGUGAUAAACUUAUUUAAAAUAGGGUGGUAGGAACGAAAAGUUAAUCGAUUCUUAUGGUUUCUAGUUUCUUAAGAAAUAAAUUUAAUUUAGGAACAAUGGGAACUUUGAAUAGUAUAUUUAAAGUUUUGAAUGGUUCUACUAAUUUGAGGGAUAAGCUUUAAGUUAGUCUUAAAACUUAAGAAAGGAGGAAAAUUUGUAGGCUUGAAAGUAGCCAUCAGUCAAGGAUGUUAUAAUUUAUUUUCUAAGUUUUAAAUUUUCGUAGGUUUAGGUAAUUAUUAAGAAAUCACUUUGAAUUUGAAGAGUGAGAUAUAAUGAUAAAAUCAGUAGAACUCGCCUGUUUAUCAAAAACAUCGCCUUUUGAAGAAAUAGAAGGUCUGACCUGCCCACUGAAUAUUUUAAAGGGCCGCGGUAUUUUGACCGUGCAAAGGUAGCAUAAUCAUUAGUCUUCUAAUUAAAGGCUGGAAUGAAUGGUUGGACGAGGUACUAGCUGUCUCACUAAAAUAGUUUUGAAUUUAGCUUUUCAGUCAAAAGGCUGAAAUAAGGUUGGAGGACGAGAAGACCCUAUAGAGCUUUACGUUUAAUUUCUUUGACUUGUUUAGAGAAAAUUUUGGUUUUAGGAGGUAGACGUUUCGUUGGGGUGACGGGAAGAUAAAAUUAACUCUUUUUGAAUUUUAACAUUGAUGAAUGAAUAAUUGAUCCAUAUGUAAUGAUUAAAAGACUAAGUUACCUUAGGGAUAACAGCGUAAUCUUUUUUGAGAGUUCUAAUCGACAAGAAGGGUUGCGACCUCGAUGUUGGACUAAGGGUUAUUUUUGGGUGUAGCAGCUCAAAGUUUAGGUCUGUUCGACCUUUGAAUCCUUACAUGAUCUGAGUUCAGACCGGCGUAAGCCAGGUCGGUUUCUAUCCUCAAUUAAAGGGAAUAUUUUAGUACGAAAGGACCAAAUAUUCAAGAUAGUCUUAGAAGGUGAAUAAUAUUAACUA